ACACAUGCAAGUCGAGGGGCAGCGGGAUUGAAGCUUGCUUCAAUUGCCGGCGACCGGCGCACGGGUGAGUAACGCGUAUCCAACCUUCCGUACACUCAGGGAUAGCCUUUCGAAAGAAAGAUUAAUACCUGAUGGUAUGAUGAGAUUGCAUGGUAUCAUCAUUAAAGAUUUAUCGGUGUACGAUGGGGAUGCGUUCCAUUAGGUAGUAGGCGGGGUAACGGCCCACCUAGCCAACGAUGGAUAGGGGUUCUGAGAGGAAGGCCCCCCACAUUGGAACUGAGACACGGUCCAAACUCCUACGGGAGGCAGCAGUGAGGAAUAUUGGUCAAUGGACGAGAGUCUGAACCAGCCAAGUAGCGUGAAGGAUGAAGGUCCUACGGAUUGUAAACUUCUUUUAUAAGGGAAUAAACCCUCCCACGUGUGGGAGCUUGUAUGUACCUUAUGAAUAAGCAUCGGCUAACUCCGUGCCAGCAGCCGCGGUAAUACGGAGGAUGCGAGCGUUAUCCGGAUUUAUUGGGUUUAAAGGGAGCGCAGACGGGUCGUUAAGUCAGCUGUGAAAGUUUGGGGCUCAACCUUAAAAUUGCAGUUGAUACUGGCGUCCUUGAGUGCGGUUGAGGUGUGCGGAAUUCGUGGUGUAGCGGUGAAAUGCUUA
rnacentral:rRNA from 1 species